UACAGAGGUCCCGAGCGUUGUUCGGAUUCACUGGGCGUAAAGGGUGCGCAGGUGGGUUGGCAAGUUUGAUGUGAAAGCCCCGGGCUUAACCCGGGAAUGGCAUUGAAUACUGCUGAUCUGGAGGAUCGGAGGGGGGACUGGAAUUCUUGGUGUAGCAGUGAAAUGCGUAGAUAUCUGGAGGAACACCGGUGGCGAAGGCGGCAUCCUGGACCGGCAUUGACGCUGAACAGCGAAAGCCAGGGGAGCAAACGGG
rnacentral:rRNA from 1 species